rnacentral:lncRNA from 1 species
AAAUGCUGGGAAAGCAAGAGUUGAAUUGCUAGCCAUGAGGAAAACGUAAGCCUGAGCUGUUUGCUGGCCAUCUUUGCUUCCACAUGGGGACGGCCUGCCUGGAAAUGAAGCCACACAGAGAAAACAGAAGAGCAGUGAAGAGAAGGGUAAAAGGAGAGAUCCCAUGACAUGAUUUGCACUCUUAGAUCCAGUUAUGCCUGAUGCAGGACCCACCCCUCGGACUUCCCAUUUCCAGGAGCUAAAACUAGACUGAGUUGAGUUUCUGUCACUGACAGUUGACAGAAAAUAUCAACAAUCCAGCCACAUGGAGCCUCAUGGCAGUACCACUAACCCUGGUCACCACAUGAAUACUGACCAGAGGCAUUUCACCUGAAUCAACUGUUUGUGUGCUUAACUCCAUCUCCUCAUCUGCUUCCUGGAAGACCCAACUGACAUAGAUGGUUACAAGAAAUGAUUUCCUCCUUAUAAAACUUUAGAUGUCAAUGUGAUCUUUCACAAGCACACUGAAAAAUUCACACCGUGGAAAAGAACUAAAGUCCCAUCCUAAUUCAUCAGAGCCUUCUGUUU